rnacentral:rRNA from 1 species
UACGAAGGGGGCUAGCGUUGUUCGGAAUCACUGGGCGUAAAGGGCGCGUAGGCGGCUUUAUAAGUCGGGGGUGAAAGCCUGUGGCUCAACCACAGAAUUGCCUUCGAUACUGUAGAGCUUGAGACCGGAAGAGGUAAGUGGAACUGCGAGUGUAGAGGUGAAAUUCGUAGAUAUUCGCAAGAACACCAGUAGCGAAGGCGGCUUACUGGUCCGGUUCUGACGCUGAGGCGCGAAAGCGUGGGGAGCAAACAGG